GGCUGCCUUCUGUCUGGACAGAGUGGCAUACAACGAAAAAAAGGAACUUCUGAAACUGUUCCUGAAACUGCAGGAGCAAGGCUCAAUUAUCUCCUACGUGACUGUAGAGGAUGUAAUUGAAUGGUUUCUCUGCCAUGAGAGGCAGAUGUUCACGGAUUGGUUUCUUGAAUUAAAGGAGUCACGUGAAUCAGAUGACAAUACCUGGCUGACUUGGCAGGUGAAUGCUCGACUCAGGAUGCAGGACAUUGAGCAGGAGGUCAGGAGGGAGCUGUUAGUCAGACGUCUGUCGAGUGUCUCUUGUCAGGGUGAUGAGCUGC